GAUGAACGCUGGCGGCGUGCUUAACACAUGCAAGUCGAACGGUGAAGCAGGAGCUUGCUCCUGUGGAUCAGUGGCGAACGGGUGAGUAACACGUGAGCAAUCUGCCCUGGACUCUGGGAUAAGCGUUGGAAACGACGUCUAAUACCGGAUACGAGACGCGAAGGCAUCUUCAGCGUCUGGAAAGAACUUCGGUCCAGGAUGAGCUCGCGGCCUAUCAGCUAGUUGGUGAGGUAACGGCUCACCAAGGCGACGACGGGUAGCCGGCCUGAGAGGGUGACCGGCCACACUGGGACUGAGACACGGCCCAGACUCCUACGGGAGGCAGCAGUGGGGAAUAUUGCACAAUGGGCGCAAGCCUGAUGCAGCAACGCCGCGUGAGGGACGACGGCCUUCGGGUUGUAAACCUCUUUUAGCAGGGAAGAAGCGAAAGUGACGGUACCCGCAGAAAAAGCACCGGCUAACUACGUGCCAGCCGCCGCUGUAACAC
rnacentral:rRNA from 1 species